CGGUACCCAAAUAAAUAAACGGAAACACAUAUAAUCGUGUCAAUUAUUUUCAUAAGUCAUAUCAACUAUUUCGUGUUCAUAACUUCAAAAUUUUCAAGUGGUUCAAACAGAACUAAGUUUCAGUAGAUUAUCAAAAUGGGUUGCUGUCCACCUUGUCCACCUUCUCCUUGCUGCUAUCCGUGUUUUUAUCCCUGUUGUUACCCUUGCUGCUACACGUGCUGUUUUCCAUGCUGCACUCCUUGCUGUUCCCCUUGCGGACCAUGCUAGAGAAACCAAAAGAUUCAAUUAUGUAAACACCGAAGCGAAAUGAAGUAUGAAUUAAGGUGAUGCUGAUACUUACGAAACCGCCAAAUAAACCCGUCUACGAUAUAUUCAUUUUCGAUAUCCUCUUAACAGAAACAUGGAAAGUGUGGUAGUAUUCAAAAUGAUAAUUCUGGAACUAUUUAUAACAAAAUAGCCUACAUAAAUAAAAAUAUUUAUCUAUCCUCAAUAUAAAGAUAAAAAUUGUAUUUACAUGAAAUUUGCUUAGAAUUAUUUUUUUAUAAAUACGUUAAUACAUAUUCUAAGUUCAAAAAUGAUCAAUUUGCGGUAUAAUUCCAUGUAAAUUUCUUUUUUUAUUGCAUUUUGUAUGAAGGAAACUUUCUAAGAUAUGAUGCUCUGCUAAACUAGAAUGACAUGUAAUUCUAUAAAAAAAUAAAACUUACACACUAAAAA